UCUCCACGCCGGGAUUCGAACACGGGUCUCCUGAGUGAGAGCCAGUAUCCUAACCACUAGACCACGUGGGAG